rnacentral:lncRNA from 1 species
AUAACAAGCAGGGCACAUGGGCAGCGACUACCCCCACUCACAGCCAAAGCAGCAAAUACCUGCAGACAGCAUCCUCCCCUGCCUGGACUCAGCCUGAAAACCACAUCCUAAGGCUGCCACGUAUUUACUUGUAAAAUACUAUGCUAAAACCAGAGUGCAAAAUUAUGUGUUGGGCAUUCAAAGCUAUGUGAGGAUGAGGAGCAUACUUCUGGAGCAUCAGCUGAAUUCCACGGUGGAUCCCUUCAUGAGUCCAGUCUCUGCUCUUCCUAGGCACAUGGCCAGGACCCAGAGAUUCCCUCGGAGCUUCCUGGUGCACCCUCACCCAGCUGUAGACUAGAAGGAACCCCUCUGCCAUUUUUGCCACCUCAUCCAUCCAAUUAAGCGGGCUCUCGGGGAUGAGGGAAAACGGGCUGUUUCCUUGACAGCAAAUACUCUGACUGAAACAAUUAGUUUGUCUAUUUUAAAACUGAAUUCCAAUGCUUCCAUGGCAACCAAAGUUAUUAAAAGAUGUAAAUUAAAGUGUUGCACAGGAAAGAUGGCUUGGCAUAGAAGGCGCUUGUUUUGGGGAAAGAACACAAAGAACUUGAAACCAAGGGCAUCCCCCUACCUGGACGUGUGCUGCGAUCAGCUGGUGCACUGAAACGGCUCCAGCCAUCCGACAGCUCCUCCCGUGCCCUUGGCUUCUACCACUGCCUCACAUCAGGGACACCUCUGUCCCUCACAUGCACGAGAGAGAGGAGGGGGUUUACACUUUCUGAAGCCCUUUGUGCAAAGAAAAAAUCCUAAGGAGGGUAGAGAGGCAGAACUGACUUCUGUGCUGGGCCUACUAUCUGCCUACUAACAGUUACGGUUGACAAGUAUCAAGUCUUCCUGUGCCCUGGGAAUUGUGCUAAGGGAUUUGCACGCAUCUUCUCACCAAAUGCUCCUACCAGAUGAGCUAUAAUCUCAGUUCAUCCCCAUUUCACAGACUGAGAAAUUCAGAUCCAGGCGGAUGAAGCAACUGAAGGAGCCAUGUAUCCAAUGAGAGAAAAUGAAGACAAGAGCCCACAUCUGUUUGACCGUAUUCCAUUUCCUGAAUUCAAGCCAGACACAAUGUUGGGUGAAUGGAUCAUUCCAUUUAAC